UCCGGUUGAUCCUGCCGGAGGCCAUUGCUAUUGGGAUUCGAUUUAGCCAUGCUAGUCGCACGAGUUUAGACUCGUGGCGAAUAGCUCAGUAACACGUGGCCAAACUACCCUUCGGAGCUCCAUACCCUCGGGAAACUGAGGCUAAUAGAGCAUACCACAAUCCAGCUGGAAUGAGGAUUGUGCCAAACGCUCCGGCGCCGAAGGAUGUGGCUGCGGCCGAUUAGGUAGACGGUGGGGUAACGGCCCACCGUGCCAAUAAUCGGUACGGGUCAUGAGAGUGAGAACCCGGAGACGGAAUCUGAGACAAGAUUCCGGGCCCUACGGGGCGCAGCAGGCGCGAAACCUUUACACUGCACGACAGUGCGAUAAGGGAAUCCCAAGUGCGCAGGCAUAGAGCCUGCGCUUUUGUACACCGUAGGGAGGUGUACGAAUAAGGGCUGGGCAAGACCGGUGCCAGCCGCCGCGGUAAUACCGGCAGCCCGAGUGAUGGCCGAUCUUAUUGGGCCUAAAGCGUCCNGUACGAAUAAGGGCUGGGCAAGACCGGUGCCAGCCGCCGCGGUAAUACCGGCAGCCCGAGUGAUGGCCGAUCUUAUUGGGCCUAAAGCGUCCGUAGCUGGCCGCACAAGUCCAUCGGAAAAUCCACCCGCUCAACGGGUGGGCGUCCGGUGGAAACUGUGUGGCUUGGGACCGGAAGGCGCGACGGGUACGUCCGGGGUAGGAGUGAAAUCCCGUAAUCCUGGACGGACCGCCGAUGGCGAAAGCACGUCGCGAGGACGGAUCCGACAGUGAGGGACGAAAGCCAGGGUCUCGAACCGGAUUAGAUACCCGGGUAGUCCUGGCCGUAAACAAUGUCUGUUAGGUGUGGCUCCCACUACGAGUGGGUGCUGUGCCGUAGGGAAGCCGCUAAACAGACCGCCUGGGAAGUACGUCCGCAAGGAUGAAACUUAAAGGAAUUGGCGGGGGAGCACUACAACCGGAGGAGCCUGCGGUUUAAUUGGACUCAACGCCGGACAUCUCACCAGCAUCGACUGUAGUAAUGACGAUCAGGUUGAUGACCUUAUCCGAGCUUCAGAGAGGAGGUGCAUGGCCGCCGUCAGCUCGUACCGUGAGGCGUCCUGUUAAGUCAGGCAACGAGCGAGACCCGCAUCCUUACUUGCCAGCAGCACUGCGAAGUGGCUGGGGACAGUAGGGAGACCGCCGUGGCCAACACGGAGGAAGGAACGGGCAACGGUAGGUCAGUAUGCCCCGAAUGUGCUGGGCAACACGCGGGCUACAAUGGUCGAGACAAAGGGUUCCAACUCCGAAAGGAGACGGUAAUCUCAGAAACUCGAUCGUAGUUCGGAUUGUGGGCUGCAACUCGCCCACAUGAAGCUGGAUUCGGUAGUAAUCGCGUGUCACAAGCGCGCGGUGAAUACGUCCCUGCUCCUUGCACACACCGCCCGUCAAAGCACCCGAGUGAGGUCCGGAUGAGGCGCGUUCCACGCGUCGAAUCUGGGCUUCGCAAGGGGGCUUAAGUCGUAACAAGGUAGCCGUAGGGGAAUCUGCGGCUG
rnacentral:rRNA from 1 species